rnacentral:lncRNA from 1 species
CUUUCUCUCUCCCUUUACAGAAACAAUAGAAAGUUAAUGAGAUGAUGUGUUAAGCACUUUGCCUUCUUGAGAAGGAUGGCAUGGAAGAUCAUUUAAAGAUGACUAUGCAAAGAUAUCAUUUUAAUGCUUGACUGAAUUUCUCAGAAAAAGGUGGAAGAGACAACUCACUUCUCCAGCUCAUCCCAGAGCACAUAGGGGUCGGAGCUCUUCUGCCGGAUCUUCAGCAUGUGCUGCACCAGGCGGAUGGAGCGAUUAUAAGAUUUGUCCAGUUCGCUGAUGAUGAACAGCAGAUCGGAGCUGAGGGCUGGCACAGCUGCAUACUGCCACAGCAGCACCGGCAGCCAGGUAAAGAAGCAGACAUGCACACGGGGAGACUGCCCAGGGCACUGGAUCUACAGGCCAAGGAGUGGGAACCUGGCAGACCUUUCCCUUGCAGCCUUCAGAGGAGCCAAUACUGAUGACACCUCGAUCUUGGACUUCCGGUCUCCAGAACCCUGAGACGAUAAUUUUGAUUGUUGAAGCCACCCAGUUGGUGGUGCUUGGUUUCAGCAGCUCUAGCAAAUUAACACAGGGACUUUUCUUCAGGUUUCCUCAUCAUACUUACCACACCUAGCAGGGUUGGGCCAACUAUUUUGCCUACAGUAAAAUCUCUACUUGUAAAGAUUUUUAUUUAUUUAUUUAUUUAUUUAUUGAGAUUGAG